rnacentral:rRNA from 1 species
GACGAACGCUGGCGGUAUGCUUAACACAUGCAAGUCGAACGAGACGAGGUGGAAGGAUCCUUCGGGUGACGGAAAUCUUAGAAAGUGGCGAACGGGUGAGUAACGCGUGGGUAACCUGCCCUAUGGAAAGGAAUAGCCUCGGGAAACUGGGAGUAAUGCCUUAUAAGAUACAUUUGUCGCAUGGCAGAAGUAUUAAACGCUCCGGUGCCAUAGGAUGGACCCGCGUCCCAUUAGCUAGUUGGUGAGAUAACAGCCCACCAAGGCGACGAUGGGUAACCGGUCUGAGAGGGCGAACGGUCACACUGGAACUGAGACACGGUCCAGACUCCUACGGGAGGCAG